rnacentral:rRNA from 1 species
UACGUAGGGUGCAAGCGUUAUCCGGAAUUAUUGGGCGUAAAGAGCUCGUAGGCGGUUUGUCGCGUCGGCCGUGAAAUCUCCACGCUUAACGUGGAGCGUGCGGUCGAUACGGGCAGACUUGAGUUCGGUAGGGGGAGACUGGAAUUCCUGGUGUAGCGGUGAAAUGCGUAGAUAUCUGGAGGAACACCGGUGGCGAAGGCGGCAUCCUGGACCAGUAUUGACGCUGAGGCGCGAAAGCUAGGGGAGCAAACGGGGAUUAAGAUACCCCGUGGUAGUCCG